rnacentral:miRNA from 1 species
UCAGUCUUCAAUUCCUUCCAG